rnacentral:rRNA from 1 species
GUUAAAGUGCGCGAUACAAUCGUGGCUGUCUAGUUGCCUAAAAAGCAAUUGAUAGCAAGGGCCGGGCAAGACCGGUGCCAGCCGCCGCGGUAACACCGGCGGCUCGAGUGGUAACCGCUAUUAUUUGGUCUAAAGGGUCUGUAGCCGGCUUAGUUAGUCUCUUGAGAAAUCUGGCCGCUCAACGGUCAGGCGUUCAGGGGAUACUGCUAAAGCUCGAGACCGGGAGAGGUGAGAGGUACUUCAGGGGUAGGGGUGAAAUCUUGUAAUCCUUGAAGGACCACCAGUGGCGAAGGCGUCUCACCAGAACGGAUCUGACGGCAAGGGACGAAAGCUAGGGGCACGAACCGGAUUAGAUACCCGGGUAGUCCUAGCCGUAAACGAUACUCGCUAGGUGUCGGCCACGGUGCGACCGUGGUCGGUGCCGUAGGGAAGCCGUGAAGCGAGCCACCUGGGGAGUACGGCCGCAAGGCUGAAACUUAAAGGAAUUGGCGGGGGAGCACUACAACGGGUGGAGCUUGCGGUUUAAUUGGAUUCAACGCCGGAAAUCUUACCGGGGCCGACAGCGAUAUGAAGGCCAGGCUAAGGACCUUGCCCGAUUAGCUGAGAGGUGGUGCAUGGCCGUCGUCAGUUCGUACUGUGAAGCAUCCUGUUAAGUCAGGCAACGAGCGAGACCCACGCCCACAGUUGCCAGCGUAUCCUCAGGGAUGACGGGUACACUGUGGGGACCGCCGCUGCUAAAGCGGAGGAAGGAAUGGGCAACGGUAGGUCAGUAUGCCCCGAAUGCCCCGGGCUACACGCGAGCUACAAUGACUGGUACAAUGGUAUCUACCCCGAAAGGGGAUGGAAAUCUCCUAAAGCCAGCCUUAGUUCGGAUCGAGGGCUAUAACUCGCCGUCGUGAAGCUG